UUCAUUCCAUAGUCAUUUUGACUCAAAGUAUGGCUCAAAAGCUAUCUCAGAAAGAGGUUUUUCCUCACUGUUCGAGGUCAAUUUCAAACUGGUGGAAAAGUCAUUUCCAAUUCAGGUUCGUCAAUAAACCAGACACUCAGAUCGUUUUGAGUGCUAAUAUGAGAAUGACUUAGAGGAUGAAGAGGAUGAAGAAGACGCUGAUGAAGAGGAUGAUGCCCAGGAUUAAUAUGGGUACAUACUGAAUCCGGCUCCUGUGCAUCUUCCAGUUCCGGCGACGACGAUACCCCCAAUACUGAGAGGAGGCUUAAAAGGAUCAAAGACACAAGAAAGAUAGCCACUUCUAUCUUAGACGUCAAGUAGUCAAGAGACCUAAUUUUGGGGUUAAUUUGGAGGUUUCCUUUCUCCUCAUCAGCUUUGAAGGAUUUUGGUCAAGUAGCCAAGAGAUUUAUUUUUGGGAAUUUCAGGAAAGAGCAAGAGUUUGAGAGGACAGGUUGCUGACACAAGUGGCAGAAUUACCUUCCCUGCUUGCCUUAAGCAGCCAGGACUUUCUGAUUUCCCGCUUCAAUCUCUAAUAAAAUGAAACAAGAAGACCUCAACGUUUUACCUUUAUCUUGCUCUUACCCCAUGAUCUGGGAAAUUCACAAUUGUUUCUCUAGGUUGCUUCCUUUUCUUCUUCAGUCUUGGAUUUGAGUGUGAGUACUGAUCACUGCAGAGCUCUACAUCAGUACAAUGCCCAACUGCAAAUGGAGAAAUCAGGUUUGGAAAAGAAGAAUAAGGCUUUGGCUUUAGUAUAGGUAAUUACUCUGAGGAGAAGUUUGCAGGAAUGCUAUCAAUUCUACUUUGUUUAAGCAGUGGCUGAAGAACAACAAGAGUGAAAAUGGGAUUUUACACGGCGGUUCCAUGUCUAUUUCACACGAAUUCUAAUUCAGGAGUGGAUAUGUGCGGGAAGCACAGGUUUUCUGAAAUUCCAAGCAGAUCAAUAAACAAACAGGGGAAAAGGUGUAACAAAAGGAUUGAAAAUUCAAUUCUAUGUUCAAUAGAUAAGAUCACAAAUGGGAAGGCAUGUUUGAACUUUGGAGUACAUUUCUUAACUAGACGAUGUUUUUUAAAUUGGAGACUAAGUUAGAUCAGUGGAGGAAGACCGCUGACGCGGCUGCUGCUAUUCUUUCAACAGAGUACAACAGGAUGUUUUUAAAGAGAACAUGUUUUCUUGAAAGCCAGUACAAUUCCUUAAGUUCACCUUGUUCAGAAGACUUGGACGAUCACUUGCCAAAGACAUGUUGAAGAAGAUUGGUGUGUUAUGGAAGAAAGGCUAAAAGUAGAUGGGAUUAUGCUACAGGUUUCUUAUCAUUAUCUGUUAUUUUUACGAUGGGUUAUGUAUGUUCUUUUAUUCCAGUAUAAUUAUACAUACAUCUAAAACCCGUGGCACUGUUCACUAGAGCCCGAAAUGAAGUGAUGCUUUUGCC